AUUGAACGCUGGCGGCAGGCCUAACACAUGCAAGUCGAGCGGAGCGGCGGACGGGUGAGUAAUGCCUAGGAAUCUGCCUGGUAGUGGGGGAUAACGUCCGGACACGGGCGCUCAUACCGCAUACUAUCAGAUGAGCCUAGGUCGGAUUAGCUAGUGGGUGGGGUAAAGGCCUACCAAGGCGACGCUCCGUAACUGGUCUGAGGGGAUGAUCAGUCACCCUGGGACUACGACACGGUCCAGAGUCCUACGGGAGGCAACAGUGGGGAAUAUUGGACAAAGGACGAAAGCCUGAUCCAGCCAUGCCGCGUGAGUGAAGAAGGUCUUCGGAUUGUAAAGCACUUUAAGUUGUGAGGCUUUAUCAACAGAAUAAGCACCGGCUAACUACGUGCCAGCGGCCGGGGUAAUUC
rnacentral:rRNA from 1 species